GUCCGCACAGUAAACGAUGGAUGCCCGCUGUUAGCACCUAGUGUUAGCGGCUAAGCGAAAGCAUUAAGCAUCCCACCUGGGGAGUACGCCGGCAACGGUGAAACUCAAAGGAAUUGACGGGGGCCCGCACAAGCGGAGGAACAUGUGGUUUAAUUCGAUGAUACGCGAGGAACCUUACCCGGGCUUGAAUUGCAGAUGAACGAUUUAGAGAUAAUGAGGUCCUUCGGGACAUCUGUGAAGGUGCUGCAUGGUU
rnacentral:rRNA from 1 species